GUAUAACCGAUGAUACGCGAUACUUUUAGCUUAAACCCAGUUUUUAUACCGCCGUCCAAAGGGUAAAAUUAAAUAUUUUAUUCGUGCCAUACCCCUUCGAGUAAAAAUGUCAGGUCAAGGUGAAGUUAAUGUUUAAGGUACAAUGAGUUAUCAAUAAAAAUAAUUUAUGGACUUUUGUUUAAAAACAAAAAUCGAAUUAAGAUUUAAAAGUAUUUUCAGUUCAAUACGCUAAGAAGAAUAAGCAAAAAAGGUGUACAUAUCGCCCGUCGCCCUCGUCCAAAGAUGAGGUAAGUCGUAACACAGUUAAUAUACUGGAAAGUGUAUUAAGCGUAAUAAUUACAAGCUUAAUAGUAUUUCAUUUACACUGAAAAGAUAUCAUUUACUUUUGUUUAGUCUCCUAUUCACAAAAUCUUUGCACUUAUACCUGCUUAAUUCAUCAUAUUAAAAACUGAAAAGGUUCACGAAAAUAUAAAUAAAGUAAAUUUAUGUACCUUUUGUAUCAGGGAUUCUCAAACCAUCAUGAACAUUUCAAACUCCCGAAACAAAACGAACUUUGUAACUUUAGUAAAAGUUGUGGCACAAACAAUAUAAAUUCUACAAAGUUGAGAUAUUCUAUUCAAGUUUUUCCAUAUCUGGUUCACUCACUACCCAAAUUCACAACAUGGUUCUAAGAAUAAGCUUCGCACCAAGUUUUUCAUCUUCUCUUUUACUUAAACCAGAUUUAACAGUAUCCGCAUUGUUUUCAAACUCCACAACCCAAUUUUCCCGAACAAUUUUCUACAAGUGGACCAUCCCAUUAAUCUCAUAAUGAAAAUAUUAGUAAAAUUUCCCCUUCUAUUUAAUCCUAAACCCUCCCCCCACCUAUAAAUUAACAUUGAAAUUAUGAACUAGGCCCCAAUCAAUUGACUGUUUAUC
rnacentral:rRNA from 1 species